rnacentral:rRNA from 1 species
ACGCUGGCGGCACGCCUAACACAUGCAAGUCGAACGAAGUAGCAAUACUUAGUGGCAGACGGGUGAGUAACAUGUGGGUAUCUGCCCUUUGGCCUGGAAUAACACGAGGAAACUUGUGCUAAUACCGGAUAAGUCUUUACGGAGAAAGCUUUAUGCACCAUUGGAUGAGCCCGCACUUGAUUAGUUUGUUGGUAGGGUAAUGGCCUACCAAGACUAUGAUCAAUAGCUGAUUUGAGAGGAUGAUCAGCCACAUUGGGACUGAGACACGGCCCAAACUCCUACGGGAGGCAGCAGUGGGGAAUCUUGCACAAUGGAGGAAACUCUGAUGCAGCGAUGCCGCGUGAGUGAAGAAGGCCCUUGGGUUGUAAAGCUCUUUCGUCGGGGAAGAAAAUGACUGUACCCGAAUAAGAAGGUCCGGCUAACUUCGUGCCAGCAGCCGCGGUAAUACGAAGGGACCUAGCGUAGUUCGGAAUUACUGGGCUUAAAGAGUUCGUAGGUGGUUGAAAAAGUUAGUGGUGAAAUCCCAGAGCUUAACUCUGGAACUGCCAUUAAAACUUUUCAGCUAGAGUAUGAUAGAGGAAAGCAGAAUUUCUAGUGUAGAGGUGAAAUUCGUAGAUAUUAGAAAGAAUACCAAUUGCGAAGGCAGCUUUCUGGAUCAUUACUGACACUGAGGAACGAAAGCAUGGGUAGCGAAGAGGAUUAGAUACCCUCGUAGUCCAUGCCGUAAACGAUGUGUGUUAGACGUUGGAAAUUUAUUUUCAGUGUCGCAGGGAAACCGAUAAACACACCGCCUGGGGAGUACGACCGCAAGGUUAAAACUCAAAUGAAUUGACGGGGACCCGCACAAGUAGUGGAGCAUGUGGUUUAAUUCGAAGAUACGCGCAGAACCUUACCAACACUUGACAUGUUCGUCGCGACUCUAAGAGAUUAGAGUUUUCGGUUCGGCCGGACGAAACACAGGUGCUGCAUGGCUGUCGUCAGCUCGUGUCGUGAGAUGUUGGGUUAAGUCCCGCAACGAGCGCAACCCUCACUUUUAGUUGCCAUCAUUAAGUUGGGCACUCUGAAAGAACUGCCAGUGAUAAGCUGGAGGAAGGUGGGGAUGACGUCAAGUCCUCAUGGCCCUUACGUGUUGGGCUACACACGUGCUACAAUGGUAUUUACAACAGGAAGCAAGACUGCGAAGUUAAGCAAAUCCCUAAAAGAUACCUCAGUUCGGAUUGCACUCUGCAACUCGAGUGCAUGAAGCUGGAAUUACUAGUAAUCGUGGAUCAGCGUGCCACGGUGAAUGCGUUCCCGGGUCUUGUACUCACCGCCCGUCA